rnacentral:rRNA from 1 species
UAGGGAAUCUUCCACAAUGGACGCAAGUCUGAUGGAGCAACGCCGCGUGAGUGAAGAAGGUCUUCGGAUCGUAAAACUCUGUUGUUAGAGAAGAACACGAGUGAGAGUAACUGUUCAUUCGAUGACGGUAUCUAACCAGCAAGUCACGGCUAACUACGUGCCAGCAGCCGCGGUAAUACGUAGGUGGCAAGCGUUGUCCGGAUUUAUUGGGCGUAAAGGGAACGCAGGCGGUCUUUUAAGUCUGAUGUGAAAGCCUUCGGCUUAACCGGAGUAGUGCAUUGGAAACUGGAAGACUUGAGUGCAGAAGAGGAGAGUGGAACCCCAUGUGUAGCGGUGAAAUGCGUAGAUAUAUGGAAGAACACCAGUGGCGAAGGCGGCUACCUGGUCUGCAACUGACGCUGAGACUCGAAAGCAUGGGUAGCGAACAGGAUUAGAUACCCUGGUAGUCCAUGCCGUAAACGAUGAGUGCUAGGUGUUGGAGGGUUUCCGCCCUUCAGUGCCGGAGCUAACGCAUUAAGCACUCCGCCUGGGGAGUACGACCGCAAGGUUG